CAACGUGGGUAACCUGCCCUGAUGAUCGGGACAACCCGAGGAAACUCGAGCUAAUACCGAAUGUGCCCUCCGGCCAUAAGGCCACUGGGGAAAGGAAGCUUCGGCCUCCGCAUCGGGAUGGGCCCGCGGCCCAUUAGCUUGUUGGUGAGGUAACGGCUCACCAAGGCAAUGAUGGGUAGCUGGUCUGAGAGGACGAUCAGCCACACUGGGACUGAGACACGGCCCAG
rnacentral:rRNA from 1 species